rnacentral:rRNA from 1 species
AUACGGAGGAUGCAAGCGUUAUCCGGAUUUAUUGGGUUUAAAGGGUGCGUAGGCGGUUUGCUAAGCGGGAGGUGAAAUGCCGGCGCUCAACGUCGGAAGUGCCUCCCGAACUGGUGGACUGGAAUGACUCUGCCGUGGGAGGAAUGUGUAGUGUAGCGGUGAAAUGCUUAGAGAUUACACAGAACACCGAUUGCGAAGGCAUCUCACGAAGGGUUGAUUGACGCUGAGGCACGAAAGCGUGGGGAUCAAACAGGAUUAGAUACCCUGGUAGUCCACGCAGUAAACGAUGAUGGCUAACCGCUGGUUUAUUCGGAUCAGUGGCCAAGCGAAAGCGAUAAGUUAUCCACCUGGGGAGUACGACCGCAAGGUUGAAACUCAAAUGAAUUGGCGGGG